rnacentral:misc_RNA from 1 species
CUCACAGUUUCUUCGCUGGUAAGAACGGAAGAACGAGUCACACCCACCGCCCUCGACCCGAAUCCGCCGCAGGACCCGACUCGCAGCCGUAUUAAUAUUUUUCGCUCCCAUUUUUUUUUUCCGAUAUUACAAUAAACACCAAUCACCAUGGAAUCGCAAUCUGUAAGUCUUCAAAUCUCCCUCUCAUUUGUGCCAGCUCCGUACGGCACCGUAUUCUAGAAACC